rnacentral:rRNA from 1 species
UGGGGAAUAUUGGGCAAUGGCCGAAAGGCUGACCCAGCGACGCCGCGUGCGGGAGGAAGCCCUUCGGGGUGUAAACCGCUGUCAGGGGGGACGAAUGGUUCGGGGGGGAAUACUCUCCGGACGUGACGGUACCCCCAAAGGAAGCACCGGCUAACUCUGUGCCAGCAGCCGCGGUAAUACAGAGGGUGCAAGCGUUGUUCGGAAUCACUGGGCGUAAAGCGCGCGCAGGCGGAUGGUUGCGUCCGGAGUGAAAUUUCGCCGCUCAACGGCGAAGCUGCUUUGGAUACGGACCGUCUAGGGACCGGUAGAGGCUGGUAGAAUUGCAGGUGUAGCGGUGGAAUGCGUAGAGAUCUGCAAGAAUACCCGUGGCGAAGGCGGCCAGCUGGGCCGGAUCCGACGCUGAGGCGCGAAAGCGUGGGGAGCAAACAGG